rnacentral:rRNA from 1 species
AGUGAACGCUGGCGGUAGGCCUAACACAUGCAAGUCGAACGGCAGCACAGUAAGAGCUUGCUCUUACGGGUGGCGAGUGGCGGACGGGUGAGGAAUACAUCGGAGUCUACUUUUUCGUGGGGGAUAACGUAGGGAAACUUACGCUAAUACCGCAUACGACCUACGGGUGAAAGCAGGGGAUCUUCGGACCUUGCGCGAUUGAAUGGGCCGAUGUCGGAUUAGCUAGUUGGCGGGGUAAAGGCCCACCAAGGCGACGAUCCGUAGCUGGUCUGAGAGGAUGAUCAGCCACACUGGAACUGAGACACGGUCCAGACUCCUACGGGAGGCAGCAGUGGGGAAUAUUGGACAAUGGGCGCAAGCCUGAUCCAGCCAUACCGCGUGGGUGAAGAAGGCCUUCGGGUUGUAAAGCCCUUUUGUUGGGAAAGAAAAGCAGCAGGUUAAUACCCCGCUGUUCUGACGGUACCCAAAGAAUAAGCACCGGCUAACUUCGUG